UACAAAAUCCCUUGGAUUUCUGCUCAUUCCCUUUACUCCUAAUCCUUCGUCUGUCGGUUGUGCAAUACUCUUUUGUGUCUAUAGCUUCUGCUCCUUCUCCCGAGGAUGUUCCUCCUUUCCCUGAGGGAGCAAAUUCCUAGCCGUCUCACCCCCUCUGGCUUACCGCCAAGCUCUAGGAGAUCUGGGAAAAGCCCAGAGCACAAGGAAACAAUAGGGCGCUGCACUGUGGAGAAGCUUCAGGCCCAGUGGGAGAACUGAAGAAACAACUGGAAGAGUCUGACUCUGUUCUCAAGAGCGUUUGACUGAACCCUGUUCUUCUAUUCACAACAAAUUAUAUUUUGUAAGGUAGACAAUCUUUCCUUUGUCUGUAUGAAGAUUGUCCAUCUUUAUCUAUCGUUAGUUUACUCUGUAUUUCUGUUCUUUUUGUACUGUUGCUCUAAGCAUUACAUGAUAUCCAUGCCAA